AUAUUAAUAAGCGGAGGAAAAGAAACUAACAAGGAUUCCCCUAGUAACGGCGAGUGAAGCGGGAAAAGCUCAACAUGAAAAUCUGCUUGCCAAGCGGCAAGCCGAGUUGUAGAGUAGAGAGGCAUUGUCAGCGGUGACCCGGGUAUAAAUCCUUUGGAAUAGGGUAUCAUAGAGGGUGAGAAUCCCGUCUUUGACUCGGAGUUCGCCGCGUACGACAUGUCUUCGAAGAGUCGGUUUGCUUGGGAAUGCAAACCAAAAUGGGUGGUAAAUUUCAUCUAAAGCUAAGUAUCAGCGAGAGACCGAUAGCGCACAAGUA
rnacentral:rRNA from 1 species